CCCCUCUAACCACUAGGCUACCCCGCCUCCCCUAACCACUAGGCUACCCCGCCUCCCCCUCUAACCACUAGGCUACCCCGCCUCCCCUAACCACUAGGCUACCCCGCCUCCCCUAACCAAUAGGCUACCCCGCCUCCCCUAACCACUAGGCUACCCCGCCUCUCCCCUCUAACCACUAGGCUACCCCUCCUCCCCUAACCACUAGGCUACCCCGCCUCUCCCCUCUAACCACUAGGCUACCCCGCCUCCCCCUCUAACCACUAGGCUACCCCACCUCCCCUAACCACUAGGCUACCCCGCCUCCCCCCUCUAACAACUAGGCUACCUGCCUCCCCUAACCACUAGGCUACCCCACCUCCCCUAACCACUAGGCUACCCCGCAUCCCCUAACCACUAGGCUACCCCGCCAUCCCUAACCACUAGGCUACCCCGCCUCCCCUAACCACUAGGCUACCCCGCCUCCCCUAACCACUAGGCUACCCCACCUCCCCUAACCACUAGGCUACCCCGCCUCCCCUAACCACUAGGCUACCCCGCCUCCCCUAACCACUAGGCUACCCCGCCACCCCUAACCACUAGGCUACCUGCCUCCCCCCUCUAACCACUAGGCUACCCCGCCACCCCUAACCACUAGGCUACCCCGCCUCCCCUAACCACUAGGCUACCCCACCUCCCCUAACCACUAGGCUACCCCGCCACCCCUAACCACUAGGCUACCCCGCCACCCCUAACCACUAGGCUACCCCGCCUCCCCUAACCACUAGGCUACCCCGCCUCCCCUAACCACUAGGCUACCCCGCCUCCCCUAACCACUAGGCUACCCCGCUUCCUCUAACCACUAGGCUACCUGCCUCCCCCCCUCUAACCACUAGGCUACCCCACCUCCCCUAACCACUAGACUACCCCUCCUCCCCUAACCACUAGGCUACCCUGCCACCCCCAAACCACUAGGCUACCUGCCUCCUCUAACAACUAGGCUACCCCGCCUCCCCCUCUAACCACUAGGCUACCCCACCUCCCCUAACCACUAGGCUACCCCACCUCCCCCUAACCACUAG
rnacentral:lncRNA from 1 species